GCGCGCAGCUCCGAGUGCGUAGAGUGAAGAAAGGAGACAGUUGGUGACAAGUCAGCUGAACCCUGCGCUUUGACACUCGCCCGUGUGUGUGGAUUCGGUCCUGGGUCUCUGCAGAGGCGCGUGGAUGCUGACAGCACACCGAGAAAGGAGGCUUUGACUGACUGCUCCCCUUUUAAAUCUAGUUCAGGAGUCCAGGAUUUUCGUGGAUAAUGAAGGCGAACGCGUGCGUCAAUGCUGGAAAAAAAAAAAAAAAAGGAAAAGAAGAAGAAAAAACAAACGCUUUUAAUCAAAUAUCAUCAGAAAUUUAAGGAUGACGUGAACACAAGUAAACAAAAAGGUCACGUGAAUGUAAUGCAUAAUGAAAACCUGUUUCAUGUAUCUGACAGCCAACAUUUGACUAACCUUUGUAUUAAAGAUGCUUCUUAUUUA